rnacentral:rRNA from 1 species
AUUGAACGCUAGCGGCAUGCUUUACACAUGCAAGUCGAACGAGUGGCGGACGGGUGAGUAAUAUAUCGGAACCUGCCCAGUAGCGGGGGAUAACUACUCGAAAGAGUGGCUAAUACCGCCUACCAUUGGAUCUGCCGAUAUCGGAUUAGCUUGUUGGUGGGGUAAAGGCUCACCAAGGCGACGAUCCGUAGCUGGUUUGAGAGGACGACCAGCCACACUGGGACUGAGACACGGCCCAGACUCCUACGGGAGGCAGCAGGGGGGAAUUUUGGACAAUGGGGGAAACCCUGAGGCAGCCAUCCCGCGUGUAUGAGAAGGCCUUCGGGUUGUAAAGUACUUUUGGCAGGGAAGCGGUAUCUGCAGAAUAAGCACCGGCUAACUACGUGCCAGCAGCCGCGGUAAUUC